GUGCUGUGAUGACUCCCAUCUUGGUUUCGCUUGUUGCUGAAUUCCAAUGAAGACAUCUCUCUUGGCUGUCUGAGCAU
rnacentral:snoRNA from 1 species